UAGAAAGGCUACAGCUGGUCUUCCAGAGACUAAGAGAGCAUAAUCUGAGACUAAAUCCAAAGAAAUGCUACUUGAUGCGGACAUCAGUCAAAUUCCUGGGCCACAUCAUUGAUAAAAAAGGAGUGUUGGUGGAUCCCGCCAAAGUUGAGGUGAUUACAGCAAUGACGAAGCAGAACCUCAUGGAACCAGAUGGCUGUACCCCAUCGGUGCGUCGAAUCAGGUCUUUUCUGGGGAUGGUGUUUUACUAUCAGCACUUUAUCCCCAAUUGCUCAUCUCUUGCUAAGCCACUCUUUGCACUAACAUCAGGUCAAAAACGAAGAAAGAAGGCUGAUAGGACAGGAAAAGCCCCUGGCACAUUCAGAAAGCUCAAGUCUUCUGAUUGGAGCACCGAUUGUGAUGAAGCGUUCAAUAGCCUAAAGGAAAAGCUCCUGAAUUGUGUUGUCCUUGCUCAUCCCGACUUCUCACGUCCAUUCCUCCUGUCUGUUGAUGCGUCCCUGGAUGGACUUGGAGCAGUGCUGUCCCAAGUUCCGGCUAAUGAAGACCAGGCCCGUCCUGUUGCUUUUGCAAGCAAGACUUUGAGUCAGUCACAGAAAAGAUAUCCAGCCCAUAGGCUUGAAUUUUUAGCACUAAAAUGGAGUGUCUGUGAAAAAUUCAGCCAUUGGCUCAAAGGCCAUUCUUUCACAGUAUGGACGGAUAAUAAUCCCCUAACAUACAUAAUGACUAAACCAAAGUUAGAUGCUUGUGAACAGCGCUGGGUAGCUAAGUUAGCCCCAUACAGUUUUGACCUUAGAUACAUUCCAGGGAGGAAGAACAUUGUGGCAGAUGCAUUGAGCAGGGUCCCAUUCACGCAGACAGUGAGUCAUAGGCUGAUCAGUGAGCCUUACAGCAAGCUACUCUGUGAGGGAGAGGAUGUAGGGGAAGAUGGUAUACAGCAUGCUUUCCGGCUUAAAGCUCAGCUCCACCAAGUCAGCCCUGUGACUAAUGGUUCAGUCGCCAGUCCAGUUUGUCAACUUCCACACUAUUCUGAUUCAGACACUGUUAAAGCAUUG
rnacentral:lncRNA from 1 species